CUGCAAAUCAUUUGAAAAUUGUAAAAAAUCGGUUUCUAGGAAGAAAAUAGUCAUCACAAUUAACUUCAUAUUCUGGCUGGCUUUAAUAUUUUCUCUUCAGAUGGCACGUCAGCUUUGAACAUGUAACACAGAUUUGUUUGAUUAACAUCACUGAUUUGGAAAUACGACGAGCAUCUGCCAUAAAUAUGCUGACUUUUUGCUAUGAGAACAUCACGUCUCAACCUAUUAAUUUCAAUCAACUAAUUGAUUUAAAUAAAUAAAAUUAGCGACAUCUACCGCUUUUGUGGGCGAUUAUCAACAACAAUCUUCCUAACUGCUUCGUACUGCUGUUCUUUCUUGGCCAGAGCCCCUCGUCGGGCUCGGUCGAACGCGCGUAAGAAGGGCUCUGGGUACGAGAAUGCAAAGGCCCUGGUAAAGGCUGGUCACGUGAUGCUUCAAAUUUUGAAUAUUUCAGAAUAUUUAACUUUUCAAACCGGGGGUGCGGGCCGCUUUGAUUUUAUCAAACAUGGCCGUGCAAAGGGGCGAUAGAAGCUUUUGCGACUGAAACCAGAGACCGAAACUAUGAUGAUAAACUUUUCAACUGACAGUGGAAAUAAAUAUAUAGUCUGCGAUGUUCUUCAAAAAAAUAUGGAAUAUAAUCAACAGCAAUACUUGUGGAAGAUCAAGAUUCAAAGAGAAGAGUCUAAACAUUGACUGACAACAGUAAAUAUUUCUUUUCAGCUUGGAAGCGUGUUUUAUAAUAUUUGUCGUUUGGGAGUCAAUAACAUACUGUCACUACUGUCAGUGAAGAAUUUGAUUUGGGACUUUGAUGUACCUUUAUGAAAAGAUUACUACUGAAUACAAAUGUGCAUGUAAAAUGUGAUUAGAACGUUUUAAUAUGAACAGUUGCACUGUCAUUGACUCAAUAUAUUUUAAUGUGGGACAAACAUUAAAAAAACAUUAAAGUACUGUGCCAAGUGACAAAAUUCCAUGCCGACCAUGGGUUACGUAUGUAUGCAUUUUUA